rnacentral:piRNA from 1 species
CAGUGUGGUGGACCAUCCGU